AAACCCCCCAUGCCAAAGUGAAUCUUGGAAGUGUCCAAGUGGUUCUGAACCUUACAUUGUAUUUAAUGCAAAACAUUACUGAUCGUCCAAAGCCAGAUACAAUUCUCAGAUGGCUGAUUUUCUUGUUUUUUUUUAUGGGAUGUUAUUCCGCAAGUCACAUCUAAGUUUUGUUAAGAAAAGUUUGUAUGAGCAAAGUGCGUUGCAUUUUUAUUUAUUUAUUUAUUUCGUAUGGAAGAGGAUUAUAGAAAUGAGAAGUUACAGUGCAAACAGGUAUUUAAAAAAAAUCAUAUGUAGAACAGACAAAAUUAC